GUAGUGAUGCACCGAAUGGUUCCCGGCGAACAUAGUGUGUUCGCGUCCGCCGCGGACGGCGAACACAAGCGCGGUUCGAUCCGCCCCAUAUUCGUCAUCAUUGAGUGAACUUUGACCCUGUACCUCACAGUCAGCAGACACAUUCCAGCCAAUUAGCAGCACACCCUCCCUAGCAGACCCUCCCACCUAGUGGACAGCAUCCAUUUUAGAUUCAUUCUCAAGCUGCAUGCUUAGUGAGAGGAGGGAAUGUGUAGCUGCUGUUGAUUAGAUAGGGAAAUGCAUAGCUAGGUUAGGG
rnacentral:lncRNA from 1 species